rnacentral:rRNA from 1 species
GAUGAACGCUGGCGGCGUGCCUAAUACAUGCAAGUCGAGCGAACGGACGAGAAGCUUGCUGCUCUGACGUUAGCGGCGGACGGGUGAGUAACACGUGGAUAACCUACCUAUAAGACUGGGAUAACUUCGGGAAACCGGAGCUAAUACCGGAUGAUAUCUUGAACCGCAUGGUUCAAUAGUGAAAGACGGUCUUGCUGUCACUUAUAGAUGGAUCCGCGCUGCAUUAGCUAGUUGGUAAGGUAACGGCUUACCAAGGCAACGAUGCAUAGCCGACCUGAGAGGGGGAUCGGCCACACUGGAACUGAGACACGGUCCAGACUCCUACGGGAGGCAGCAGUAGGGAAUCUUCCGCAAUGGGCGAAAGCCUGACGGAGCAACGCCGCGUGAGUGAUGAAGGUCUUCGGAUCGUAAAACUCUGUUAUUAGGGAAGAACAUAUGUGUAAGUAACUGUGCACAUCGUGACGGUACCUAAUCAGAAAGCCACGGCUAACUACGUG